rnacentral:rRNA from 1 species
UAUAGAGACUCAGAGCUGCAUAUCAAUAAGCGGAGGAAAAGAAACUAACAAGGAUUCCCUUAGUAACGGCGAGUGAAGCGGGAAGAGCUCAAAUUUGAAAUCUUCAAGGUUCUACCUUGACGAAUUGUAGUUUAAAGAAGUGUUUUCUGUUAGAUGAGUAGCAAAAGUUCCUUGGAAUGGGACAUCAUAGAGGGUGAGAAUCCCGUAUUUGGUUAUUCAUUCUAGCUUUGUGAUACACUUUCAAAGAGUCGGAUUGUUUGGGAAUGCAGUCCAAAAUGGGUGGUAAAUUUUAUCUAAAGCUAAAUAUUGGCGAGAGACCGAUAGCGAACAAGUACCGUGAGGGAAAGAUGAAAAGAACUUUGAAAAGAGAGUUAAACAGUACGUGAAAUUGUCAAAAGGGAAGCGUUUGACACCAGUGUUGUUUUUCCGAAAAUCAAUUACGAAUGGCUUGAUUUUGUGUUGUAUUGACCUUAUCAGCUUUCUGCACUUUUUUCGAGUCUUUCUUAAUGCACUUUUCGGUUAACAAGUCAACAUCAAUUUCUUUUGUUGUAAAAGAGUAUUCGGAAGGUGGCUUUCUUUUCGGAGAAAGUGUUUAUAGCCCUAUACUUCUACAAUCGGAGAGAUUGAGGUCUGCAGCGUAGAUCCUUCGGGGUUAGAUACACUUGUGCUAAGUUGUAGCUUUUCAUAGACAACUUGUUGACUAUGAUUCAGUCAUGUAGGCUUACUCGCUUAGUGCUAUUUUACCUACGCUUAGGAUGUUGACGAUCAGCUGAGCGCG